GAUGAACGCUGGCGGCGUGCCUAAUACAUGCAAGUCGAGCGAAUGGAUUAAGAGCUUGCUCUUAUGAAGUUAGCGGCGGACGGGUGAGUAACACGUGGGUAACCUGCCCAUAAGACUAGGAUAACUCCGGGAAACCGGGGCUAAUACCGGAUAACAUUUUGAACCGCAUGGGUCGAAAUUGAAAGGCGGCUUCGGCUGUCACUUAUGGAUGGACGCACGUCGCAUUAGCUAGUUGGUGAGGUAACGGCUCACCAAGGCAACGAUGCGUAGCCGACCUGAGAGGGUGAUCGGCCACACUGGGACUGAGACACGGCCCAGACUCCUACGGGAGGCAGCAGUAGGGAAUCUUCCGCAAUGGACGAAAGUCUGACGGAGCAACGCCGCGUGAGUGAUGAAGGCUUUCGGGUCGUAAAACUCUGUUGUUAGGGAAGAACAAGUGCUAGUUGAAAAAGCUGGCACCUUGACGGUACCUAACCAGAAAGCCACGGCUAACUACGUGCCAGCCGCCGCGGUAA
rnacentral:rRNA from 1 species